rnacentral:rRNA from 1 species
UACGUAGGGACCAAGCGUUGUUCGGAUUUACUGGGCGUAAAGGGCGCGUAGGCGGCGUGGUAAGUCAGCUGUGAAAUCUCCGAGCUUAACUCGGAACGGUCAGCUGAUACUGCUGUGCUAGAGUACAGAAGGGGCAAUCGGAAUUCUUGGUGUAGCGGUGAAAUGCGUAGAUAUCAAGAGGAACACCUGAGGUGAAGACGGGUUGCUGGGCUGAUACUGACGCUAAGGCUCGAAAGCGUGGGGAGCGAACAGG